UACAGAGGUCUCAAGCGUUGUUCGGAUUCAUUGGGCGUAAAGGGUGCGUAGGCGGCGCGGUAAGUCGGGUGUGAAAUCUCGGAGCUUAACUCCGAAACUGCAUUCGAUACUGCCGUGCUUGAGGACUGGAGAGGAGACUGGAAUUUACGGUGUAGCGGUGAAAUGCGUAGAUAUCGUAAGGAAGACCAGUGGCGAAGGCGGGUCUCUGGACAGUUCCUGACGCUGAGGCACGAAGUCCAGGGGAGCAAACGGG
rnacentral:rRNA from 1 species